rnacentral:rRNA from 1 species
AGUGAACGCUGGCGGUAGGCUUAACACAUGCAAGUCGAACGCCCCGCAAGGGGAGUGGCAGACGGGUGAGUAACGCGUGGGAACAUACCCUUUCCUGCGGAAUAGCUCUGGGAAACUGGAAUUAAUACCGCAUACGCCCUACGGGGGAAAGAUUUAUCGGGGAAGGAUUGGCCCGCGUUGGAUUAGCUAGUUGGUGGGGUAAAGGCCUACCAAAGCGACGAUCCAUAGCUAGUCUGAGAGGAUGAUCAGCCACAUUGGGACUGAGACACGGCCCAAACUCCUACGGGAGGCAGCAGUGGGGAAUAUUGGACAAUGGGCGCAAGCCUGAUCCAGCCAUGCCGCGUGAGUGAUGAAGGCCUUAGGGUUGUAAAGCUCUUUCACCGAUGAAGAUAAUGACGGUAGUCGGAGAAGAAGCCCCGGCUAACUUCGUGCCAGCAGCCGCCGCCGUAA